AUGUCAUCACAGGGACAAAGCCUCCUUCCCAUGAGGUCAUCCCAGAGGAAGAGGCCGGCCCGUGAGGUCCUCGCUGGAGGCCAUGUCCAUGUUCUAUGAUGUCCUCAGAGGCUUCCUUCUUGUGCUGUAAUAACAGAGAUGAUGCCUUGUUCCAUGACAUUCGAUCCUGUGGUGUCACUGCAGAGACAAUCUCACCUGGAUGAUGUCGCCUCUAACUCCACGGCCUCUCUGGGCAUCAUCGCCAUGGGGAAGAUAUUUUCUCCCUGUGUCUUUGCAGCAGAGAAGGUGCCUCUGUCCCAUGAUGUCGUCAUUACAGACAAAGCCAUCUUCCUGGGACACGUCGCAGGGGAAAAUGCCUCACCAACUGUGUCCUCACUAGACCUAAGGUCUCCUUUUCACCACAUCAUCACAGGGACCCUGCCUCCUUCCUGUGAUGCCAUCACCAGAGAAGGUGCCUUGCCCUAUGACGUCAUCAGAGGGACCGUGCCUCUUCCUGUGAUGUCAUCACCAGAGAUGACCACCCACUCUGGGACCUCUCCAGGAGGAGGCCCCUUCUGCGCUCUCGCCCAGAGGCUACGUGCUCUGAGAUGGCACGAGGAGAGGCCUCCAUUGCUGCCACCAUGUUGUAGAAGGCAGGGCAGGCCCAGAGUCCAGGACAACCCCAGGGAAGAUGCCAGAGAGCAGAGAGGAGCCCUGUCCUGAGAUGUUGUCUGAAGGAAGCAUGGCUGGGGAGCCGCCCAUGUGGAGGGCCUCCUCCAGAGAUGAUGGUCGGUGUAGGCUGUUGGCAGUGAACCCCCUACCCCAGUGCUGUGAUGGCAUCACCAGAGCUUCCUCCUCAGAGGCACUGCCCACUCUGGGAGGCCAUCGGUAUUGAUGGUGUCACCAGAGUUACUGCCUUGUCCCACCAUGACUUAGCUUGGUUGCUCCCUCCCCAAACCCAAGGGACAUGCCCAGCAGGAUCUCUGCUAGACCCUCUGAGAGGAAAUGGGGCCUUGGAUCCCACACCUGUGCUAUGACUCCUGGGAGACAGAACAUCCAGAUGCCCUUCUGCUCCCAGGAGGCCACUCUGGAUCCCCAGGAUCCUGGAGUCCUGGCACUCACAGGUGUCCUGUAGCCUGGCCUCACUCUUCGUUCUGCCAUAUCUAAAGACAAUCACCUCUGUCAACAAAGUCCUAGCCUUCUACUGGGGGGAGGUGCUUGAGGUACACCUACUGUUGCCCUCACUGACACUGUCAGCACCACACAAUACCCGCCACUCAUGAUGGCACUGCACCCGGGGUCAAGUGUUACCCAGGUCUGAGGAUGGAAUCCUUUCCCAGGAUUCCCUAUGACCCCCAACUAUGGUAACAUCUUCUUCCAGGAUUUACCAUGACUAAUGGUGUCACCAUCUCCCAAGACUCUCCAUAGCCAACGGUGUCACCACCCUCCAUGAUUCCUCACAACCACGGUGUCAUCAUCUUUCAGGAGCCACCACAGCUGACGAUGUCAUCAUUUCCUAGAUCCCGCCAUGACCAAUGAUGACAUUACCUUCCAGAAUCCACUAUGCCUGACACAGACAUCCUCUACUGAAAUCCACUAGGACUGAUGAUGCCACCAUUUCCCAUAAUCCCUCAUGAUUUUGGUGUCAUCACCUCCCACAACAGAACC